rfam:Asian citrus Psyllid, Diaphorina citri - Florida Strain, whole genome shotgun sequence.
GCCAGCGGCGAUAGCACGUAGAAGAUAACAGUUCCCAAUAGCUCACUAAAGUUAAGCAACGGUACGCGUGUUUUGUAUCCGAUGGGUGACCAUCUGGGUAAUCGCGUGCUACUGGCU